UGAGGAAUAUUGGUCAAUGGGCGAGAGCCUGAACCAGCCAAGUCGCGUGAAGGAAGACUGCCUUAUGGGUUGUAAACUUCUUUUAUACAGGAAUAAAAAGGCUUACGUGUAGGCCAUUGCAAGUACUGUAUGAAUAAGCAUCGGCUAACUCCGUGCCAGCAGCCGCGGUAAUACGGAGGAUGCGAGCGUUAUCCGGAUUUAUUGGGUUUAAAGGGUGCGCAGGCGGGCUUUUAAGUCAGCGGUGAAAUCUGGACGCUUAACGUCCAAACUGCCGUUGAAACUGGGAGUCUUGAGUAUGGAUGAAGUAGGCGGAAUUCGUUGUGUAGCGGUGACAUGCAUAGAUAUAACGAGGAACUCCGAUUGCGUAGGCAGCUUACUAAGCCAUAACUGACGCUCAUGCACGAAAGCGUGGGGGAUCAAACAGGAUUAGAUACCCUGGUAGUCCACGCCGUAAAACGAUGAUUACUAGUUGUAUGCGAUAUGAUAGUAUGUGACUAAGCGAAAGCGAUAAGUAAUCCACCUGGGGAGUACGCCGGCAACGGUGAAACUUAAAUGAAUUGACGGGGGUCAUAGCUGUUUU
rnacentral:rRNA from 1 species